CAGAGGUAUUCCUUUAAAUCCAAUUGUUUAUGUCCUGUUAUGUAUCAUAGGAAAUGUAGUAAACCAUAUUUGCAAAUGUAAUUAAUAACUUUACCAUGCUCAAAGUUUUUUUUUACCCAUCUACCAAUAGGUGCCCUUCUUUGCGAGUCAUUGGAAAUCCUUCCUGGUCUUUGUGGUUGAAUCUGUGUUUGAAAUUCACUGCUGGACUGAGGGACCUUACAGGUAAUUGUAUGUGUGAGGUACAGAGAUGAGGUAGUCAUUCAAAACUCAUGUUAAACACUAUUAUUGUACACAGAGUGAGUCCAUGCAACUUAUUAUGUGACUUGUUAAGCACAUUUUCACUCCUGAACUUAUUUAGGCUUGUCAUAACAAAGGGGAUGAACACUUAACUGACUAAAGACAUUUCAGCUUUUCAUUCAUUUGUAAAAAUGUCGAAAGCAUAAUUCCAUUUUGACAUUAUGGAGUAUUGUGUGUAGGCCAAUGACAGAAAAUAUAAAUUGAAUCAACUUUAAUUUCAGGCUAUAACACAACAAAAUGUGCAAUAAGUCAAAGGGUGAGAAUACUUUCUGAAGGCUCUGUAGCUCAAACCAGCCAUGACUAUGAAUGGCUAAAUUACUGUCGGACAGAAAUAGCUGAUAUUUGCUUGAUCCAGCAAUGCUGUUCGGAGGCUCCCUGUGGAGGGUGUGAUGCAAUUGCGGAGCCUCCGGAGACGAAAUCGAGCGCACCGCAUCGCCGUGCGCCUCUCAAAUGUUGUAACAAUGCAGAGGGCUCCGUAUAACUCCACAUUGACAUGAUUGGUUGAAGGUAGGUGGGGGUAGGAGGUCAUGUAUAAACAAAAACACACUUCCUUGACAACUUCCUUAACAACAGCUUGGCGAAGCGCAAGAAGAAUAGGAGGAGCUCCUCCUCAUCACUCUAUUAUUACUACAUGUAGGUGGAGCUCCUCCUCACCACUCUGUUAUUAUUAUUACUACAUGUAGGUGGAGCUCCUCCUCACCACUCUGUUAUUAUUAUUACAUGUAGGUGGAGCUCCUCCUCACCACUCUGUUAUUAUUAUUACUACAUGUAGGUGGAGCUCCUCCUCACCACUC
rnacentral:lncRNA from 1 species